GAAAUAUGGCAGCCCAGGAUUGGAUUGACGUCAAAACCUUUCUUGAUGAGCAGCUCGAGACAGUCAGCCUGGCCUCCAUCCGCCGCAGAAUGAACCGGACUCAUCCCAGACAAACGGAUGGCCCUCUUACUGGUAGUGCCCCUCGUAGGCUGCGCGGUGAAUUGGCAGUAGAGAGCAAAGACUGGCUACAUUCGGACUGGCACCAUGUUGUAAGAGUAGAUCAAUGCAGUCCAGGUUCCCACAGCCUGCGGCGUCAUAUAACACACUGUCUCCAUUUGCAGCUUGUGCUGUGACGUCGCCCCCUAGAGGAGGACGCUGUCCAACACAUGGACGUCUGGCUGGACUGACGCUCUGUGUAUCGGAAGCCAACCUUUGCUGUCUCUUUCUUUAUAGGCGUAACUAUACUUGUGCAAUUGCCUCAGUGCAAACACAUCACCUGGAUAAUAUUACACAUGCAGAAUAUCAAGCCAUUGGGAAACCAAAACAGAGCAUGAUAUUUAGGCACACAUAUGAAGUACCUUGAUUGAUAGCUGAUAAAAUCUGGAGGUUUUCAUCACUGGCGGUUUCUAAAGUGCUGCGUGAGAGAAUGAUAUACUGUAUGUGUGAGGUUAAAACAUAUCUUGGUUUUGAAAUAAAUAAAUAUUGCACAUACCU